AGGGGCAUAGUUUAAGGGCAGAAUAGAGGUCUCCAAAACCUUUGGUGUGGGUUCGAAUCCUACUGCCCCUG
rnacentral:tRNA from 2 species